rnacentral:lncRNA from 1 species
AACCAUCUAAGCCUUUUAUAAUAUAAUUCCUAUAUUCACUUAAAGUGCUUUCAUUUAGAGCACAGGUUUUCCAUUCCAAUUAGUAUGUUACAUAAUUAGUUGUAAUAUUUACCAAAUUUAUAAAUAAAACUGUCUAAAUGGUUUUAUAGAAUGUGUGCGCGCAUCUUACCACCCGUAUCACUUUUUUCUCGGAAACGCGGUGAGAUAAGAAUUAGGGAGAAAAAUUUUGAUAACCAAUAUAUAUCUGGAAAAUUGAAUGGUCAUGAUAAAAAUUUUUUGGAUCCACUGAAAGCAGGGGCACAAAGAGUCAACUUUGAAAUCUCCAAUGAAAACUUAUGCCAAUUUGAGCAUAAUUGGAUAAAAUUGUG